CUUCGAUGCUACUCAGUUUUUGUUUCACUUCACUAAUUUCAUAUUUCAUUGCACUCAUUUCAUCUUCAGCGUCACUUGUCAGACGAUUGAUUUCUUCGUUAAGUUUUUCUACUUCCUUUGUAGGAAAAUCCGAUUCUCUCAUGUUGCCAAUCCUCUCCAGAGAUAUCGUGCUAAAAUUCAAAGCAGUGAAUGCAUCUUUGGCGUGCUUGACAUAGUCAUCGAACGUGACUUUAUUAAUUUGAGGGCUGGAUGUAUGAGCAAAGGUGUUUCGUAAAAGACGAAGUUGAUCAAUGGCAAGUGCAAUCGUCUCAUUUGCAUCUCCUCUCGAGCUUCUCACGGCAGAGUGGAAUGGAGCAGGGGCUGGCUUU